rnacentral:rRNA from 1 species
GACGAACGCUGGCGGCGUGCUUAACACAUGCAAGUCGAGCGGUAAGGCCCUUUCGGGGUACACGAGCGGCGAACGGUGAGUAACACGUGGGUGACCUGCCCUCAGCUCUGGGAGUAAGCCGUCGGGAAACCGGGUCUAAUACUGGAUAUGACUCCAUGACGCAUGUUGUGGGGUGGAAAGCCUUGUGCGGCUGAGGAUGGGCCCGCGGCCUAUCAGCUUGUUGGUGGGGUGANGGCCUACCAAGGCGACGACGGGUAGCCGGCCUGAGAGGGCG